AGGCGCGUAGCUCAGAUGGUUAGAGCACCACCUUGACAUGGUGGGGGUCGUUGGUUCGAUUCCAAUCGCGCCUACCA
rnacentral:tRNA from 4 species